GGAGGGGUGUCCGAGCGGUUGAAGGAGGCGGUCUUGAAAACCGUUGGAUCUUCACGGGUCCCGUGGGUUCGAAUCCCACCCCCUCCGCCA
rnacentral:tRNA from 2 species